rnacentral:lncRNA from 1 species
AAUAUCAGACCAAUUUAUUCACUGUCUAAUUGAGGAUACAAGGAGUCUAGUUAAAAUUCAGUUUACUGUUGUUUAUGCAUACAAUACUGCAGUUCUUAGGGAACAACUGUGGAGAGAACUGAGAACAAUUCCUAUAAAUCAGCAAGAUGCAUGGCUUAUUAGUGGUGAUUUCAACUGUGUUCUAAGCUCUGAAGAUAGG